rnacentral:rRNA from 2 species
GGCCAUUGCUAUCGGAGUCCGAUUUAGCCAUGCUAGUUGUACGAGUUUAGACUCGUAGCAUAUAGCUCAGUAACACGUGGCCAAACUACCCUACAGACCGCAAUAACCUCGGGAAACUGAGGCCAAUAGCGGAUAUAACUCUCAUGCUGGAGUGCCGAGAGUUAGAAACGUUCCGGCGCUGUAGGAUGUGGCUGCGGCCGAUUAGGUAGAUGGUGGGGUAACGGCCCACCAUGCCGAUAAUCGGUACGGGUUGUGAGAGCAAGAACCCGGAGACGGUAUCUGAGACAAGAUACCGGGCCCUACGGGGCGCAGCAGGCGCGAAACCUUUACACUGCACGACAGUGCGAUAGGGGGACUCCGAGUGCGAGGGCAUAUAGCCCUCGCUUUUCUGUACCGUAAGGUGGUACAGGAACAAGGACUGGGCAAGACCGGUGCCAGCCGCCGCGGUAAUACCGGCAGUCCAAGUGAUGGCCGAUAUUAUUGGGCCUAAAGCGUCCGUAGCCGGCCGGACAAGUCCGUUGGGAAAUCGACGCGCUCAGCGCGUCGGCGUCCAGCGGAAACUGUCCGGCUUGGGGCCGGAAGACCUGAGGGGUACGUCCGGGGUAGGAGUGAAAUCCUGUAAUCCUGGACGGACCACCAAUAGGGAAACCACGUUGAGAGACCGGACCCGACAGUGAGGGACGAAAGCCAGGGUCUCGAACCGGAUUAGAUACCCGGGUAGUCCUGGCUGUAAACAAUGCUCGCUAGGUAUGUCACGCGCCGUGAGCACGUGAUGUGCCGUAGCGAAGACGGUAAGCGAGCCGCCCGGGAAGUACGUCCGCAAGGAUGAAACUUAAAGGAAUUGGCGGGGGAGCACCACAACCGGAGGAGCCUGCGGUUU